ACUAGUAAAAAGAAACCUCCCAGGGGAUUUUAUUGUGCAACCAAGUUUGAGAAUCAUGGCUAUAGACCAUAAUGGUUGUUAGACUUCAGACUUGAUGUUCUCAGAGCUUAGGAAAGUAGCAGGGAGAAGCACCUCCCACAAAAUGCUCCCCACCCUCCUGCCACUAAUAAAAAUCAUGUGGCAGAUGAUAAGCUAGGCUGAAAUAUUUGGCAUUUUUUGCUUUCAUUUUUAGGAAGCACAUGAAACUAUGGGGGAAAAUGGUUGAAUACCUAAUUCAAAAUAUCAGGAUAGUGAUGUCUAGUGUCAAAUUUAGAUGCUUACUCAGAAUUUCAGUAUUUUCCUCCCUCUCCCACCCCUUUUGGUGAAUGUUAUUUAAAGCAAAAUGCAGAGAGAUAAUUUUCAGUAGCCUUUUAAUAAUUUCCAGAGUCUUCAGAGCUAUAAAUUGGAUGAUUUGGUGAUGGCGUAGAGGAGCUGGUGAGUAGGGGGUGUGCCAACUCAAGAAAUACAAUUCUUCCUCCUCUUGCUUUCUAGUAGAUUUGGAAAAAAAAACAAAAACUCAAAACCUGACCCUGCAAAUAAUUGAGCCUUUCAGAACAAUGUGAAAUAAUUAUCCCAAUUUCCCAUGUGCUGAGUUGAAGCAGAUCUUUUUAUAUUCCUGCCUGACCUCAAAUCUAGAGCUUUUUCACCCAUUUCCCUGAUCAGAGGUGUAGACAUUCAACUUUCCAGGAAGACGGAGAAUCUCAGCCUGGCUCAGACCCAGCCACACAGACCAGAGUGUCUCGAGUCCUCAGACUUCCCUUUCUUCCUGGCACGCUCAUGGCUCACCGUGAACUGAAGGAGAAGGGGAAAGCCUGCAGGAAGACUAAGAACCACACGGAAGCCCAAUCUUUGCCUCCACUGUCUCCACACAGGGAAGACGGCAAACAAAUUCCUUGCCCCCACGAGUCUUACAUUCUAGUUGAAGAAGCAGAAAAGAAGCAGACAGACAUAUCUUUCAGAAGUGCAUUUUGAACACAACCUUCUUGUUGCAUUGAGGAUGAAUGCAGAGAGAGCUAAGCCUGGAUACAGAAAGGAUAAUUAGGAAGUGAUUGAAACAAUGCAGGUAAGAGAUGUUCAGAGCCUGAUCUUGGGCAGGAAAAUUGACAAUGCUUAGGUUGUAAAAUUGAACAGGCUCGAGAAAUCUGACACGAAGGCAAGGAAGAAGAAUAGUAAAGGGUGCUCACUGGCUCUUGGCUGAAUAAGCAGGUGACAGCGAACACUGAUGAAGGAACAGUCGGGGUGGGGGGGGAUGGUGAGUUCACUUCUAGACAUGUUGAGUUAGAUGCAUCCAGGGAAUUUGUGUAUGGAAAGAUGCAGCAAGCUUGGAGCUCAGUGAGGAGUCUGGAGCUGCAGACAGUGAUCCAGGUAUCACAUGCAGGUGACAGCUAAGCCAGGAGAACACAAGGAACCUGCACUAGGAGUUUAUAGAGGACAGGAUGUCUAGGAAAGAAUCUCGAGGCUCAGCAGCAUUUAAUUGUCAGAGAGAGGAGAGGUACUG